UAAAAGAACUAUUAGGUCAUUUAAAUUUUGAGAACAUUCUGCUUUAACAGCUAUAAAAAUCAGUUAACCGAUAACCAAAAAUUGAAGUAAACAAUAAUUAUAAAAUUUGUAAGCAGGAAUCCAUUUACUGAAUUUGGACAAAAGAAAUCUCAUUACCAUACCGAAAUAUGACUAAAGCUUUAAACAAGUCAAGAGGGAGCCCCAGCCUGAGUGAAAUAGGUCAGCUAUGUUUGUGUUAAGUACCGGUCAUAAAGUUGUCCAUGAAGUGUGCAAAUGAUUGACAAAAAAUCAAAUAUUUGAAUGGAAAUUUGAGAAUCUAAGAUUGACAUACUUUAAAGGUAAAUGAAAUUUGGGAAAAUUUCUACCAUCAUAAGAUAUUCAUAAACAGCCAACAUACCAGUGAGAAGCUCAUUAUAUUAUCUAGAUUAAAGUGCUACAAAUCUUCCUACCUAGAAACACAGGAAUUCCAGCUCAAGGCUAAGGAAGAGAAGACUGUACCACCUAGUGGGCUUCAACCUCGUGAGAUUACCAGUAAUUCCACCUACAGCAGGGCAUUCUAUCGACCAUCAAAUUUAAAGGAAGCUUGAGAGUAAAUCACUGAUCAUUUAGUGAAAUUCUCAAAAGACACCGAAAUUAUCAGGAGCUCUCAAAACAGAACUAUAAACGACAAUGGGAAGUGGGUCGGGUGAGGGUCAAGGUCAGGGACGUGCUGGUGGACUAUGCCCCGGGUUGCUGUGGGGAUUUCUGUGGUUUCUCAUCCUCAUUUUUCUCGGUUGGCCAAUAGGAUUCUUCGUGUCAUGGUGGUACAUAUUCCUGCUGCCAUUUACUGCUUGUAUCGACGCCCUGAAGGAAAUUUGCGAGCUUCUUCUUAGGAUUGUGAAACUGCCGCUUACAUGUGCCGAAAAUAUGGUGGCCAUGAAACCGCUCUGUGGAUAAUAGGACUAAAUAGAGAUAGAAACAAAACACCGGACACUCCGACAGUGAGGACUAUGACAGUGUGAAGGAAAGAUAGUGUUAUUAGUAUUAGAUUUUUGUAUUCAAAAGGCAGCUAAAAGCCAUUUUGUAUUCAAACUUGACUUAGCAUUUACAAGACUCUAUUCAUAAAAGAUGAGCAUCAUACAAAGUGUUACAAAAAGAAAAUUAAAGCGUGAUCAUUUUAUUAUUACCUGUACACACUGUGUAAACAAUCUCUCAGAUUUCGGCGAAAAAGGUGUUUCUCAGAUUUCUGAUAAACAGAUCCGACAUCUGUGACAGGAAUAAUAUAUAUUCAUUGAUAUUAAAUAUUUGAACUCAA